AUUGAACGCUGGCGGCAUGCUUUACACAUGCAAGUCGAACGGCAGCGCGGGCUUCGGUCUGUCGGCGAGUGGCGGACGGGUGAGUAAUGCAUCGGAACGUGCCCAGUAGUGGGGGCUAGGGCGGCGACAGCGGGAUUAAUACCGCAUACGACCUUAGGGCGUACGGGGGGGACCGAAAGGCCUCCCGCUCUUGGACGAGCCGAUGUCGGGUUGGCUAGUUGGUGGGGUAACGGCGUACCAGGGCGACGAUCCGUAGCUGGUCUGCUGGGACGACCGGCCACACUGGAACGAGGACACGGCCCGGAUCCCAACGGGAGGCAGCGGUGGGAAAUUUUGGACAAUGGGGGCAGCCCUAACCCAGCCUAGCGGGGUGCGGGAAGAAGGCCUCCGGGUGGUAAACCGCUUUUGUGCGGGAAGAAAGCCUCUGGGCUAAUACCCCGGGGGGAGGACGGUACCAGAAGAAUAAGCACCGGCUAACUACGU
rnacentral:rRNA from 1 species